CGGAAGUAGUUACUAUCACUGGUUGGAAAUUAAAUCAUGAUGGGGGCUUUGGAAUAUUCAAACUAAGUGGGAGUUUUGGCAGCACGACUAGCCAGUGGGCUUCCUGUGGUGACGAGCUGGGGAGAGAGUGGACUUAACCCGCACCUAGGUGGAGGCAGGUGCUCCGAUGCCCUGGCUCCGCGAUUCCAUGGACAGGAGCAGGGCAGGAGUUCAGAUAGCCCGUCGUCUGGGUCAGACAUGUGGCGGAUGCGACUUCCUGUUCUCUGCAAAUGAGAACACUGCGGAGACCCCCUGCCAGAGCAGGGGGCGGCCCAGGGUCCUCGCUGUGUCCUAAGUAACUUGGGUUUCUUGCAGAAGAACCAUCCCACUGCCAAAACCUGCAAGGUGGUUGAGACAGGAAGUAGGGGUGGCUCUUACCUUGCACGGAACUGGAUAUAAUCCACCCCCCACACCCUGAGAUUGUGCUACAGGUAAGCUAUUUUCAGUUCUGCCCUCAGUGUGAGAACUGGGGGAAGAUGCAAGGAAGAAGCAGGCUACCAAAGGAACAAGACAGACUCAGGCAGGACAGGUUAGCACAGGAUGUGAGGCAGCAUAGGCUCCUGGCUGGUCCUGCCCCCAGACUCUGCCUCUUGGAGGAGAGGGGCAUCUCUCAGGAUGGUCUUGCUGAAUCCCAUCCUUCUGACACCUGGAGUUCAAGCUGUCAGAACUGUCCCUCUCUUUGUAUUUACCAAUUUCUAGCUUGAACUAUUUGGAAGCAGGGCUAUGUCACUACCACACUGGUUACACGGUUUGUCCCCAACCCUGUGGCAGGCUCACUCCCUGCCCUCCCCUCCUGUUCACCUUGAGCUGCCCUGGGUCUUGGAGCAUCCCAUGUAGACGCCCUGCACUUUAGCUUUUGCUCACUCGUGUUUGCAUGCUCUUUUUCCUCCUGGGUCAUUUUAUUGCGUUUAUUCUUCAAGUCGUAUUUAGGUUCUUCCCUCAUCAGACUUCUCAGAGUCCCAGGGCUGAAAUGGAUCUUGUCUUCCUGUGUUCUCCUGAACCACCUGGGCUUCUGGAGUCUUGUUUUUCUGAAUGCGAGACUCCACACUCCUUGUCUGUCCAUCCUCUUUUUCUGCUUUUUCUCAGAGCAAAAGGUUUUAAUUGGACAGCAUCCAACUCCUCAGUCCUUCUCCUUAUAUAUUGUGCUUUUGCUGUUGAAGCUGAGAACACUUCACCCACUCCUGGGUUCCAGAGAGUUCCUCCUGUGGUUUUCCUAAUCAUGUUUUAGGAUUAUGUUUUACUUUUAACUGUGGGAUCUAUUUUGAGCUCAUUUUUGUGUGAAGUGGAAGGUUGAGGGUAAAGCUCAUUUGCCCAUGGACAGCCAACUGCUCCAGCAACAUCUGUUGACAAAACUAUCCUUCUUCUGUUGGAUUCUCUUUGUAACUUUGUCAAACGAAGUUACAAAGUUAUGAAUCAUAUUUGUGGGCUACUAUUUCUGGGUUUUCUCUCCUAGUCUAUUGGUCCACAUGUUGAGAUCCUAGGUAUCUUGAGAGCCAGAUAUAUGUCUUUAUUUCUGCCAUCUCUUUGGCAUAUUACCUUGGAAACAGUAGUUAACUAACUUGGUGCCUAGGGCAUUGUAGGUUCUCAAUAAGUUUUUGUUAAAAAUAAAGAGUUAAUAAGUGUCUUACAAGUGGGAGUUAAAUUAUUGCUGAAUUAGUUCUUAGAGUUUUGAGAAGCAGACUUCAGUGUCUCAGCUCAGUGAUAACCUUUCCCUUGGGCUUCUUGACACAGUCACUAGAGUCCCCACAUGUCCUGCACACUCUGAAGGCCUCUGCCCGUGAAAGAGGGUCUCAUGUACAACAGCUGCCCCCUCUGCAAGCCCAACCUGGCCCCACACAGCUUGCACGCCAGGUCCUCCGCCCCAUCUGGGGCCCAGAUUCCCACUGUGCGCCCCACCUCCCAGGGCACCACCUGCACUCUGCAUGGUGGCCAGUGCCUGCCCAGCUACUCCAGACCAGCUCUAUCAAAUAGUAGACUUCUCUGCUCCCUGGUGGGCCAAACUGCCCCUUCUGCAAGGAGACUGAACCCAUUGCAAGAUGGCCCCCUGACUCUAGGGCGCUGAAUAGAGUUUCCUCCUGCCUUGGCACAAUCAACAAUUCUUCACGUUCAUCUUCCCUAACCAGCCUGCCAUGGGGCUUCAAUCUCCUGAGUGGACUCAGACUUAGUCAGCCACUGCCUCCACCAUUUAGAGUCCUUGUGACACCAAGUCUCCCCUCCUCUCCUGUACUCCACAGCACGCCUCUGAGAGCUUCAUCUGACACACUGGAGGGAAUUAAGUUGGCUGGGACACUGGGAAGGUCCAGGUCUUUGGAAUAACAUCCAACUAUUUAUCUGUUGAGUGAUAGCCAACAUGUCUCAGGCCUUCUUAGUCAAGUCACUUUGUCCAUUUGAGCCUUCAAAGGAGAAUAUCAUGAUGCUCCUACUUCACAGCAUUGACGCGCUGGCACGCGGACAAGGCCCAUGGAGCGCUUUGUUCAGUGUUGUAUCCAAAUACAGAGUGUCAUUUUCAUUUAACCUCAGGACAAAUUAUGGAAUGGAAGUCUGACUCCUGCUGAGCACCUGUCAGCAUUCAGAGCAGUGGAGCAUUUCUUCUAAAACGGGACCACAGGGGCUGUGACCUUCAUGUGACAUUGGGCCCCAGCACAUCAAUCUACAGUGGUUGCUUCACUGGGUGCAGCAACGUGUGCCUCUGGACGCAGCUUCUUGGGAGACUGAGCCACGUGGAGCACUUGAUCCCAGGAGAUAAAGGCCAGCCUGGGCAACAUAAUGAGAGAAAACAGCAAGCCAAGAGUGACAACAGGAUUAAAUGACAAACGACUUUGCCCUGGAAGAAGAUGGAGGAAAAUGGGCCCCUGCGGAGUGACACGGGAGGAGAGGAGCCAUUGGGAACAGAAAGGCCGAUACUGACCUUCAGACCUGGGCAAGGAGAGGAAGAGUGGGAGGUAACCUGGCUUCUCCUGGAAAGGUCAUCUGUCUGCUAGGCUGUGACAGCAGAGGCCUGCCUGGACAAGUGGGCCUGGGACAAGUGUGAAGUGUGUGAGAAUGAAAAACACCACAUGAUCUGGAUUAAAAUAGAAAAUAGGUUCUGCCAGUUCUGCAGAUAUGGCUAAUGCCACACCGUCUCAGUCACUCACCCUUACUUUUGUCUACUAGGGACAAGACAAUGCCUUGUACCUUCCGGGGGGGAAGAAGGGACAGGCUGUCUCCACACUCCGGAGGAUUACAGUGGAAGAACUGGAGAAAAGGGAGCGACAUAAAUAGACACCACCACCCAUCGUGCAGCCCCUGACGCUCAUGCCUGCCAGGUUUUGGACUCAGAGUUGAGUGCAGAGAAAGACAUGUAACAAAUGGUGACGGUGUUGGGCAUGGGUCAUGAUAAUAGUGUGGCAGAAACAAAAGAGAGUGUCUGAUUCUGCCUGCGGGAGCUGAAGCGUCUUCAAGGAGGGAACAUUGGAGACAAGUCCUUGAGGGCGCCUGGAGACCCGCGGUGCAGACAGCUGGGCAGGUUCUCCAGGUGGACGGCACAGCACCUGCAAAACCCCGUGCAGAGGAACAUGGUGUGAACCAGGUCUGAAGGGCGAGAAGCCAUACUUUCCUCGGAAGAGCUGCAGGCAAGGUGCAGCGUGGUCCUUUUCAUUUUGAACCUGUUGUCCCAUGAACAGUGAGGGCAGAAGGACAUCUUGGGCGCAGCAGACAACCACGCGUGUGCAGUGUGCAGAUGUGCCCCACGCCCUCUCCCUGUUUUAUUGGACUUCCACUGGGAAGGAACUGUUCAUGUCAUGUAGGCCCAGGGAAGCGCAAUCGCACUUCCUGGGAUGUUUUGAAAUGAGCGUUACCUGUAUUCCAGCGUAAUCCACUGACCAAUGCCUGAUGUUAUGGAGUUACCCACUCUUUUUCAUUACAUGGUAGGGUUAUGCUUUAAAUAGGGAUUUAAUUACCAGAUCCAUUUUCUGCUUACACUGAAUCUGUCAUCCAUGUGACUAUUGAAUAUUUAUAAUAAGCAAGCCUAGCUAUAGGAGUUUGGUUAUAAAGAAGAGACAAUGUCUUCUAUAUUUGGCUUCUGGAAAUCUGUAUCAUUGCCUUCAUUCCCAAUGAAAAAGAAAAAUACCAACUGAAGCAGAGGAGUGUUUCCUUUCUUGGCAGAGACAUGCAGAGGGACGGUAACAGGCCAAGGGGUGGAGCUGGAUUGAAUCCUGAGGCAUCCCUGGUGGGUGCCCUGGGUCUUCUAGAGCCAGGGCCAUAGGCCUUGGGCUGGACUGCAUGACUUUGCUUCAUUUCUAAGUGUGUGUCUCCCAUACAUUAUAUCAUAAAUAUGGGUGAAAGUUCAGCAUUUCAGGGCCUUUUAUCUGCAUCAUGUGAUCUAAACACUGACAGAUACUUAUAAAUAAAAACAAUUGCAUGGUAAAUAAAA